GCUCAGCAAAGAGUCUCCAAGCAAAUGAUAGUGGGCCGGAGAGUUAUCUUCGUCGCCGUAGGAAGUACUCUUCAAAUAAGAUGUCACAUGAGCCACACUCAACAUGAGCCAAUAUGGUGUGCUAGACACAGAUGCAGUAACCGGCCAAGAUGAAAUGUCACUGACACACAAAGAUCCCCGAUUUUUUCUCUUGCUACCUCUUAGAAUUUUCCCACGGAGCUACAGUGACAUAAAUCGGCAGAGGGCCGAUCUGCGUCCUUAGCAGUCUCUGUCAUUCGACUGCCUUGUGAUCAUUCCACUUCUUUCUCCAGAACGCUUGACUCACCAACCUCGUUCCUGGUGAUGUGCGUGCUGGAGAAAGCAGCCAAGUGUUAGUACUAGUUGGGGGGAUAGGCCAGCUCCCCACCGGCAGCAUAUAUUUCCAGUAAAGGGGACAACAUUGAACUGUCAUGAACGAGGCCCACAGAAGGCUCCCAGGAAGGAGCCCAUCGAUACACAGCAAAAGUGAUUCAGGCUUCCGUUUGCCACAGGGGUCUCCAAAUAGCCGGAGGAAGCUGUGCCCAAGGUAUCACACACACACACACACACACACACACACAGACACGGGCGGACACACAUCACCUUUUGUUACUUUCACCCUGUCCGCCCCCCUCCCCCCAUAACUUUUGACUGAGAUUUUUUUCCCCCUGGCCCUUGUGGGAAGCAGUUUAGUUUUGAGAAAACCAGGCAAAGCACCAUCACACGGGCUUCAACUAGCCUCUCGCUUGUUCUCAAUUCUCUCUGUUCUUUGCCCACAAGCCACACAUCUCAAGUCAGAAUCCAGGCUGGUGGAUGCAUUUUGCAGGAGUUUCUAUGUAUCUAGGGUACGGGCUCCUCUUUCAUCCUUACCCCCCUUUUCUUUCAUCAUUAUUCACUUUUUCUUUGGUUUGCUUUCAUCCACAUAGGGGUAUCUUGGCGGCCAGGCGGACUCUUAAGUGCGAGGUUGCCUUUUUCUCCCUUCUCUUCUUAGACGUGUGGAAGUCUGGGCUAAUUAGGCCACGGAGGAAGCGGUGGGGAAAGCCAUCCCCGUCGUGCUUCCUGGAGAGGCAACUUUAGAUGAUUUCUGGAGACGGAGGAGGCGGGUCUGUUGUGUUUUAAAGCAGUGGCAUUUAUACACGUGUGACAAACAACACGUUUUGCUGACUGUUUCUCCCUGUCUGAACAGGUGGCCCUGCGGUGUGGGUACUUCCCCAAGCCUUUCAUCGUUGUUUGCCUACGAAAGUGUCAUCGCUGCAGACAUAGUGACGGCGCUUGUGAGGACGAGAUGGCGUAAGAGAACUGAGAUGUCCCGGGAUGGAGAUGUGGUUGGCGUGUCUGGAGCUCCAGAGAGACGAGAGGAGGCGCCGAAGUGGUUGGUUGGUGCACGAGGAUCCUCUGGAAAUGGAAAAGUUGGAAGCUUGCGUGUCUCCAGGAUGGGACAUCUUCUCUGCUUGGAUGAUAGUCUUCAGAAGGUGUUCUUUCUCAGCUCGUCCAGUCUAGCCUCUGAGGGGUUGUCUCCACUUUCUGCCGAUGAUGACGGAGGAGAACGGACACCCCCACUAGUCAGAGGGUAUUAUCCCAUAAAGGUGCCCCUGCUUCUCCUGGACAUGUCUUUUCACUUCAACAUGUCUCCCUUUUCUUUCUUCCUGUCUCAGUGUCUAGAACCUUCCGUUGCUGUACCUUCCUCCCCAAGACUCGUAAUUCCUCUCUCCAGAAAUAGGGACGACUCGGUCUCUUAGUUCAUUUAUGGGUCCUACAGAUUUCACAGCCUCAGGCAUGCUGUGUCCACCCUUUCUCUGCUCUUUCAAGCUGCUACUGCCACAGCAGAGGAUGGGGUAAGCUCUGUUCCCCUGCAUGGGGGCAGGAGGGGACAGAGAAGUAGGGAGAACAAUGAGGACCUGGGAUUUCUCUCCUGGUUGCCAUUGUUCAACAAAGGAGGCUUCCUGGAAAACCGGCUACGCCAUACCGUGAACUUGUAAGAGAGCAAGCUAUGAACUUUUGUGUUCGAUAUAUUAUAUCUCUAUCAUGGCAAACUUCCUAAAAUUGGAUUGGACGAAAGCCUAGAAAGACAUGCAAAUACGUUAACGGUGGUUGCUUCUUGGAUGGUAGGACCAUGGGUAACUAAAAAAAAAAAUUUUUUUCAACUUUUCACAAGGAACAUGUUGUUUUUCUAAUUAAAAAAGAAGGAAUGUUCAAGUCGAUGCACCCAAGUCAACACAAAUAUUUCAGAUGUUGUUCAUUCCUCUCUGUUUAAGAAGGCGGGGAAGAGAAUGAUCUGCUCUAGUAAGAUCUAUCAAACAAGGCAGCGGGAGAAGUGAGGGUGAAAUUUUUCAUCCCCUAAAGGAGGCCCAGGCUUGUUUCUUGGCCUGUGCAAUGAAUACUCUCUGUGUGUUUACUUUCCUUUGCUUAAAAUCUCUAUUGUGCAGCACGGUGUUUGGCACAUGACAAGUGCUCAAUAAAUAUUGGCCCAUUCAAUGAAGCAAAUAAAAUAUUGAUGCUUAGGGGAAAAGCUCUGAUUAUCUAGAAAUCUAUCUGAUUUUCCCCCUAAAUAAUGAUGACAAAUGAGAUGAUUUCUGUAGGAAAAACAUGUGAACACAGACCAAGUCUAUAGUCAAAGGACCGUAGGGGUGCACCAUGUGUUGAGUUCGUAUCCAGAAAACGAAUGGGAACUUUGUAGACUGGGUAAGAUUUAAGCAUGACUUUGAAGAAAUCAAUAGAAAUUUUAUAGAAAGAAUGGGACACUCCAGGCACACGGACUGGCUUGUGCCAAGAUCUGAUGGCCUUGGUACCUUCCCAGCCUUGUCUUACAUCACCUGUGCCCUGCCUUCCCCUCUGCACAGGUCCCCAUCCAAACACAAGAUGAUUCCAUUCUCUGCUUUUGCGACUGCUCUUUUUUUCUGAUCUGGCAUUUCUCAUGCGCACCCCACAAACCCCUUAUGCAAAAUAAUGUUACAUACAAGGCUGUUCCCUGCCCUGCUCAUCCUUCCUAGCACAGCUCAAGGUGCCUUCUUUGCAAAGCCUUGCCUGUUCCUUUGUCCAUGCUUCGAUCCGAGUUUGUAGAAGAUGACUUAUUUACGUGGUUAUCUCUCAUGUACAAUAUCGGUUCUCUUAGAAGGCGAGAUCUGAGCAUUUGCCAUCAUGGUCCCAGAUCCUAGGACAGAGCCUGCUGCUAGGUAAAUCCUCACUCAGUAUUUUAUGGAUGAAGUAAUGAAUAUAGUCUGUAUUCCUCUCACAUUUUCAACUCCCUCCCAUCCCCAAAACGUCCCAUGUUCUUUAGAACUUCAUCCCUGAAGGUGAAAUGAUUAGUGGACCAUUCUUAUCCCCUGUUCCUGCAUUUGCAUGGAGGGAUGAGAAUUUCCUUGCCUCUGGGGUGCCGGAGGGGAUGAUCUGGGGAGUGACACUUCUAUGGCUACAUGUAACAUGUGUUGCUGGUCUGGUUGAGCAGACCAUGUGGCUCAGCCCUUCUGCAGGCUCCUUUUGGGCCUGGCUGUCCUCAGGAAACCCACUUUCCUCUGAGGCCCUAUAAUAAACAGCCAUUACUGCACAGAAGACUGCCCUUUGCAGAGAAGGCCUGCCGGUGGCUGGGUGUAUGGGUUUAAUUAUGGCUUUUUUUGGUUUGUUUUUUGGUUCAGGGCAGAUACUAGAAAACCCAUCUGUUUCUGGGUCUAAGCUUUAGACUCCAAUCGGCUUUAUCAGACAUAAAGCAGAUAUUUUCAUCUC